AUCUGGUUGAUCCUGCCAGUAGUCAUAUGCUUGUCUCAAAGAUUAAGCCAUGCAUGUCUAAGUAUAAGCAAUUAUACGGCGAAACUGCGAAUGGCUCAUUAAAUCAGUUAUCGUUUAUUUGAUAGCACCUUACUACUUGGAUAACCGUGGUAAUUCUAGAGCUAAUACAUGCUAAAAAUCCCGACUCACGGAGGGAUGUAUUUAUUAGAUUAAAAACCAAUGCCCCUCGGGGCUUUCUGGUGAUUCAUAAUAACUUCUCGAAUCGCAUGGCCUUGCGCCGGCGAUGGUUCAUUCAAAUUUCUGCCCUAUCAACCUUCGAUGGCAGGGUCUUGGCCUGCCAUGGUUAUAACGGGUAACGGAGGGUUAGGGCUCGACCCCGGAGAAGGAGCCUGAGAAACGGCUACUACAUCCAAGGAAGGCAGCAGGCGCGCAAAUUACCCAAUCCCGACACGGGGAGGUAGUGACGAUAAAUACUGAUACAGGGCUCUUUUGGGUCUUGUAAUUGGAAUGAGUACAAUUUAAAUCCCUUAACGAGGAACAAUUGGAGGGCAAGUCUGGUGCCAGCAGCCGCGGUAAUUCCAGCUCCAAUAGCGUAUAUUAAAGUUGUUGCAGUUAAAAAGCUCGUAGUUGAACCUUGGGCCUGGCUGGCCGGUCCGCCUCACCGCGUGCACUGGUUCGGCCGGGCCUUUCCCUCUGGGGAGCCCUAUGCCCUUCACUGGGUGUAGCGGGGAACCAGGACUUUUACUGUGAAAAAAUUAGAGUGUUCAAAGCAGGCCUAUGCUCGAAUACAUCAGCAUGGAAUAAUAGAAUAGGACGUGUGGUUCUAUUUUGUUGGUUUCUAGGACCGCCGUAAUGAUUAAUAGGGACAGUCGGGGGCAUCAGUAUUCAAUUGUCAGAGGUGAAAUUCUUGGAUUUAUUGAAGACUAACUACUGCGAAAGCANNUGCCAAGGAUGUUUUCAUUAAUCAGGAACGAAAGUUAGGGGAUCGAAGACGAUCAGAUACCGUCGUAGUCUUAACCAUAAACUAUGCCGACUAGGGAUCGGACGAUGUUAUUUUUUGACUCGUUCGGCACCUUACGAGAAAUCAAAGUUUUUGGGUUCUGGGGGGAGUAUGGUCGCAAGGCUGAAACUUAAAGAAAUUGACGGAAGGGCACCACCAGGAGUAAACCGCAGUUANCUCUGCUCCUAAAAGCUGGUCCGAAAGGGUUAGGUGGUUGCUAAUAUACAGCUAGUCAGCGUCUGCUGGCGACACCCUCCAAUUGCGGGGAACUCCUAAAGCAUCAACUACCGCGGCCUGUCGAAAGAUAAGGUGCAGCACCAGGUUAAUGGCCUCGGGUAUGGUAAAAACGUUGGUGAUGUUACNAUGGACAAUCCGCAGCCAAGCACCUUAAAUGGUGAAGGUUCAGAGACUUGACGGGGGUGGGUACCGAAGUGGUUGUUGUUUGGUGCUUAAGAUAAAGUCCAUGACUAUGCUGAAAAGCUUGUGAAUAACUUGUACAUCAGGUCUCUAUAACGGGAGCCUGCGGCUUAAUUUGACUCAACACGGGGAAACUCACCAGGUUAACUGAACAGUUNCUGUCUGGGCCUGGAAAAGUGAUUAAUUUUGCUAGUGCUAGACACUCGUCUACGCGGGAAAGCUCCCGAUUCGGGCGUAGAGCGGUAGCACUGCUAUCGAUGUCUAGUGCGACACCAGCUGGUACAGGGGACGCCUCAUACCUUAUUAGGUACGGCCGAUCCUGUGGCGAGCUCAGGUUGCGCUGAGCCGUUGCAACGCGCGCAAAGCGGAUGGGCUAUAUAUNUAUAUAUGGCUUAAGGUACGUGCUAAUCCUAUGAGAAAUCGUAGCCUCCUUGAAUAGGUCCGAAUAUCCAAAGCAAGGAGGGCAAGGCUGGUCUGUUUAUUACAUACUUAGCCUUGCGUAUUUAAGGGGAAGGAUAUAUAUAUAUACUAAAGUUCUUAUGGCUUUAUUGUCAUAGGUUCUUAGUAUAUACUUUCUCCUCUCAAAGUGCCAGACACAAUGAGGAUUGACAGAUUGAGAGCUCUUUCUUGAUUUUGUGGGUGGUGGUGCAUGGNCGUUCUUAGUUGGUGGAGUGAUUUGUCUGCUUAAUUGCGAUAACGAACGAGACAUUUACCUGCUAAAUAGCCCGUAUUGCUUUGGCAGUACGCUGGCUUCUUAGAGGGACUAUCCGCUUAAGCGGGUGGAAGUUGGAUGCAAUAACAGGUUAACGAUAUGUUAUAUAUAUCACAGGCCUGUAAUAGUAGUUUUAGUGGGGUUUUUAUACUGCUAGUCUAGCACUUUUAUUCUCUUAGGGGUAGCCCCAAAUAUCGGGAGAGAAAGCAAGGCAACUUGUGUAGUGCGGGCGACACCAGCUGGUACAGGGGAUCUGACGCCUAUAUAUAGAGCUAUAGAGUUUUUUAUAGUUAUUUUAUAGGUAUGCCAACCCUGUGGCGAGUCCAGGUUGCGCUGGACCGUUGCAACGCGCGCAAAGCGGUGGGCUAUAUAUAUAUAUAUAUAUAUGGCUUAAGGUACGUGCUAAUCCCUUGAGAAAUCAAGUCCCUAUAAUUAGACCGAUAUGUCGAAGUGUAGGGAGGUUGUAGUUACUAUAACUGGUAAAAUACUAGACGGUAGUGCUUUGAAUAUUGAUAAUUGAUCUAGUAUUAAAAAAUGCUGUGAUGCCCUUAGAUGUUCUGGGCCGCACGCNGCGUUACACUGCAAGAGACAGCGAGUACUUCCUUAGUAGAGAUACUUGGGUAAUCUUGUUAAACUCUGUCGUGCUGGGGAUAGAGCAUUGCAAUUAUUGCUCUUCAACGAGGAAUUCCUAGUAAGCGUAAGUCAUCAACUUGCGUUGAUUACGUCCCUGCCCUUUGUACACACCGCCCGUCGCUACUACCGAUUGAAUGGCUCAGUGAGGCUUCCGGACUGGCCCAGAGGAGUCGGCAACGACACCUCAGGGCCGGAAAGUUAUCCAAACUCGGUCAUUUAGAGGAAGUAAAAGUCGUAACAAGGUCUCCGUUGGUGAACUGCGGAAGGAUC
rnacentral:rRNA from 1 species